ensembl:misc_RNA Y_RNA Y RNA
AGCUGUCCAAAGGUAGUGAGUUAUCUCAAUUGAUUGUUCCCAGUCAAUUACAUAUCAAACUCCUUCUAUUCUUUCCCCGCUUCUCACCACUGCACCACUUGACUAGUUUUAA